ensembl:lncRNA
CUCACUAUAAAAAAUAGUCUCCAACACUCAAGCUGAGACGUCUUGAUGCUUGACAGAGGUUCCAGGCCACUCAGCCCGCAUGGUGCCUGUUGUGUGCUGAGCCUGCACAGCUGUCCAUGGCUGCCCUGGCCCGGCUCUUACCUGAUGUGUGUCUAGAGUCCAGGGGAAGUUCUUUCCUUGAUUUUCAGUCCCCAAAGCCAUCCAACUCCAACAGCUCGAUUAAAUCUCGCUAGACUUGAAGAAGGAACACUCUCCACCAAUCCAUCCUCUGACGCCCCUCUCCACUGUCACGGUAUUUACUUCCCUGAGACUUCCCGCCUGUGAGCAGGGGCUCAGUGGGUUCAGGCACAGACACACGCCAGGAGGGCCCUGCCUCAGUGGUCCUGGGCAGGGGGUGUUGGGGGGAGGGUGGCUCGUUAUGUCCCAGGGCUGGGUCUCCUGACAGGAUCUCCCCACAAAUGCCCCCUUGGCAGCCUGAUGUCAGACUCCUACCUGGUCUCCAUGCUUCCGUUCUUGCCCCACUCCAAUCUACUCUCCACGCUUGGCCCUCCAGAACACGAAUCUCCUCACGUUACCCACCCCUUCUUAAAACCCAGCAACGGCUUCCAUUACCCUAGGGGUGAAAUUCCAAACUCCUUCCCAGGGCUUAGAAGGUUCUCAGUUUGCCUUUCUGCCCACAGCCCAGCUAUCUCAACUACAGCUUCAGGUCUCAGCUUUGGUGUCACCUCCUCUAGGAAGCCUUCCCUGAUGAGCCUCCUCAAAGCCCCCACGGCUGCCUACUCUUCUCCAACAAGGCAAGUCUCAAACCCUGUGUGCUGGGAUGGCCUGUUCCCUGUCUGUUUCUCGGACCGGCGGAAAUCACUUACUCCUCUCUGACUCCCAGUGCAUAGCACAACGCUGAAAACUGUAGAAUUAAUGAGUCAAGAGAUUCCUGAUGACUAUUUCUGGAGACACUACCCAGAGCUCCCUCAGCAUUGGGACAAGCAGCUCAGAGCUCCCACAAGAUACCGGGAGAUGUCAGAACUCUCCGGCCUGUGGCCCAGCAGAGGUCUGUGGUUUUAAUGCUAAUGGAAAUUGGGCUGGCAGAUCAAAGGCAUCAGCUCCUCCAGUCCAGAUUGCCAGCAGCCAGCGCUAUCGAAAUAUCAGUUGAAUUGGUAAUUCGAAAUUAAGUGGGUUAAUGAUUGACGUCGAUUUAUAAAACCUGGCCCACCAGCUCGCCACUUGCAAACAGGGCCUUUCCUAUUGUGGGCUGGCUCGGAACAUGGAGCUCCCCAAACAGGAGUUCAUUGAUCUCUAGCCAUGCCCCCACCCCCUCCAGAUUUUAAAGGGCCCCUGUUCUCAAAAACCUUACACCAUUCCUGUGAGAUGUCUUAGAAAAGGCUUAGCACCUGAGAUCCCCUUUCAGAAAUAAAAACUCACAAAUUUGAGCCAAAGGGGAAAAGCCUGGUAUAACUUUGCACCUGUAACACAUGAGUCACUUGAUUAAGAAAAUGCUCAAAAUCAAGUUCAUGGUUCUCUCUGUGUGGGGUACAGGAAAGUGGGGGCACACACAGGGGAAGAAAUGCCUUCAGCGGCACCAGCUUUCAAAUCCUAACCACAGACUAAACAUUCUGGGCCGUCCACAGUUUGGAAAAGGACUUCUCGCCUUGGUGGUGCUUUAUUGUGCUGGUCAGAGAGAGAUCUGAUGAGCGAACAACUGCUGGAAGAUUUCGAAGCCACCUCCACUCCCUGGCAGGCAGGGCUGGCUCCCUCACCUUUGUUUGGAAGCUGGGGAGGGGAAUGGGAGCCUCAGGAGGAGGGCGGGGUCCCACCACAUCAGAUGUGGGAGACCCAGCUGGGAGCAACCCUCAUGCAAAGACUCUGGUGGACUAGGAGUUGUGAAUGCUCCGACAAGGACUUACGAAUCUAUAGGAGAAAAACGUCCUUUGUGAAGUCUGCUAGCCUUUCUGGGGGCUGCUGGGCCUCUGUGCAGAGCUCACGUCCAGAAGAGGCACGCACUGCCCAGUCUGGUCCAUCCACACCCCAUGGCAAGCCCAUCAGCAUGAUUCCCAGAGGGCUGACCUGGGCUAAGGAUGCCCUCAGUCCCCAAGAGGAAAGGACAGGGCAGCCCUGUGGCCUGACUUGGCACCUCUCUUUCUUCUGUAAAAUGGAGACGGUCACCCCUUUCCUUCAGACAGGUAAACUGAGGCCCAAAGAAGUGAAGUGCCUCCAGGAAGGUCUUCAAACUGUUUGGUGACAGAGCCACUACUAGAGUCCAGGUCCCGUAACUCAUCCCCGUUCUCUCCACAACGUCCUGUCGUGUCUCUGAGAUUUUGAUAAAUAUGGAGGGACGGUUUCCAUAAAGUCGACUGCAUGGAAGCAACUCUCCUGUCAGCGGAACUCAGCAUUCCUCAACUGGCUCCAAAGCAAAGGUGUCAUACUGCACGCCUCCACCUUUUCCCCCCUGGUUACAGCAAGUGGGUUAAAAACCAAUGGCACACAUCACAGUGUAUGUGCCAGGACACGGGGCGAAGUGUUACGCCGGACUUCAACACAUUAUUCUCGUCCAAGCUCCUAUUCUGCAUGCGGACAAGCGUAGGACACUGCCCUGCCCUCAGCCUGCUCCACCCCUCCACUCAUCCUGGUCCAGCUACGUGGUUAAUGAACAACAUGGCCAAAUGAAUGGGUGGAGAUUGUAUCAGCCGGUUUCAAACAAAGGUCUUUUUUUCUAAAUCACCCUAUGCAUUUAUGGUUUUUCCUUCUCAUCCAUCAUGACUCAUUCAUUUGUUGAUACUAAAAUAGAAGGUGGCUGUGCCUUUCAAUUGCGGUAAUUUUUCCAUUAAGGAAAAGAAAGAACCUAUGUUCCAAGCAGUAACCUUAAGGGAAGCUGGAUAUCCUGCUGAGGCCCUAGCAGCAGAUGUGCAAAGAGAGGAAGACCCAGGUUGUAGCCGAGCUUCUGCCAAGGCCUGCGAGAGCAGGUCCAAGGUGGUGCUAACAGCGUCCACCCCUUACUAGGGCGCGGUCUUGCACCUUCACAA